GCAACGAAGUGAUCGCAGUAGCUGGCGGCAAAGUUGAUGUCAUGCACCACCAGAAUCACCGUGCGCCCCUGUUCGUCGCACAAGCGGCGCAGCGCCCGCAUAAUCUGUACGGCGUGCUUGAUAUCGAGGUUGUUCAGCGGCUCAUCGAGCAGCAGGCAAUCGGUUUGCUGGGCGAUGGUCAUGGCCAGAAAGGCCAUCUGCCGCUGCCCGCCGCUGAGUUCGUCGAGGUAGGCAUGGCGCAGCGCUUGCAGCGACAGAAAGGCGAUGGCCUCGUCGAUGAUCCGUUGAUCUUCGCCGGUCAACACACCGCGGCUGUAUGGGAAACGCCCGAAGGCAACCAGUUCCUCCACCCGAAGGCGCAGGUUGAAGUCCGGUGACUGGCGCAAAGUGGCCACGCGCCUGGCGUAAUCGCCAAUCGCGAUACCCGCGACCCCACGCCCCUCGAUGCGUACUUCACCGGCCGUGGGCUCCAUCAGCCGCGCUAUCAUCAUCAACAGCGUGGUUUUGCCCGCGCCGUUGGGGCCGAUCAGCGCCGUCAGUUGCCGGGGCGGGAAACUCGCGUCGACACCGCGUAGUACGGUCUUGCUGCCAUAGGUUUUAUGGAUGUCGUGAACAGUGAUCAUGGAGCUCCUCGGGUACGCACCAUCAACACCAGUAGAGCACUGUUUCGGCUAGGGGGCCAUCCCGGCUUACCAAACCGAUGCAAACUCCGAAUACCUACAAGUGCCGAGCAUGGGAGACACACGGCGGGUGCUAACGUCCGUCGUGAAAAGGGAAACAACCCAGACCGUCAGCUAAGGUCCCAAAGUUAUGGUUAAGUGGGAAACGAUGUGGGAAGGCUUAGACAGCUAGGAGGUUGGCUUAGAAGCAGCCACCCUUUAAAGAAAGCGUAAUAGCUCACUAGUCGAGUCGGCCUGCGCGGAAGAUUUAACGGGGCUCAAACCAUACACCGAAGCUACGGGUAUCACCUUAGGGUGAUGCGGUAGAGGAGCGUUCUGUAAGCCUGUGAAGGUGAGUUGAGAAGCUUGCUGGAGGUAUCAGAAGUGCGAAUGCUGACAUGAGUAACGAUAAUGGGUGUGAAAAACACCCACGCCGAAAGACCAAGGUUUCCUGCGCAACGUUAAUCGACGCAGGGUUAGUCGGUCCCUAAGGCGAGGCUGAAAAGCGUAGUCGAUGGAAAACAGGUUAAUAUUCCUGUACUUCUGGUUAUUGCGAUGGAGGGACGGAGAAGGCUAGGCCAGCUUGGCGUUGGUUGUCCAAGUUUAAGGUGGUAGGCUGGAAUCUUAGGUAAAUCCGGGAUUCUAAGGCCGAGAGCUGAUGACGAGUGUUCUUUUAGAACACGAAGUGGUUGAUGCCAUGCUUCCAAGAAAAGCUUCUAAGCUUCAGGUAACCAGGAACCGUACCCCAAACCGACACAGGUGGUUGGGUAGAGAAUACCAAGGCGCUUGAGAGAACUCGGGUGAAGGAACUAGGCAAAAUGGCACCGUAACUUCGGGAGAAGGUGCGCCGAUGGAGGUGAAGCAUUUACUGCGUAAGCCCCUGUCGGUCGAAGAUACCAGGCCGGCUGCGACUGUUUUAUUAAAAACACAGCACUCUGCAAACACGAAAGUGGACGUAUAGGGUGUGACGCCUGCCCGGUGCCGGAAGGUUAAUUGAUGGGGUUAGCUAACGCGAAGCUCUUGAUCGAAGCCCCGGUAAACGGCGGCCGUAACUAUAACGGUCCUAAGGUAGCGAAAUUCCUUGUCGGGUAAGUUCCGACCUGCACGAAUGGCGUAACGAUGGCGGCGCUGUCUCCACCCGAGACUCAGUGAAAUUGAAAUCGCUGUGAAGAUGCAGUGUAUCCGCGGCUAGACGGAAAGACCCCGUGAACCUUUACUAUAGCUUUGCACUGGACUUUGAAUUUGCUUGUGUAGGAUAGGUGGGAGGCUUUGAAGCGUGAACGCCAGUUUGCGUGGAGCCAACCUUGAAAUACCACCCUGGCAACUUUGAGGUUCUAACUCAGGUCCGUUAUCCGGAUCGAGGACAGUGUAUGGUGGGUAGUUUGACUGGGCGGUCUCCUCCUAAAGAGUAACGGAGGAGUACGAAGGUGCGCUCAGACCGGUCGGAAAUCGGUCGUAGAGUAUAAAGGCAAAAGCGCGCUUGACUGCGAGACAGACACGUCGAGCAGGUACGAAAGUAGGUCUUAGUGAUCCGGUGGUUCUGUAUGGAAGGGCCAUCGCUCAACGGAUAAAAGGUACUCCGGGGAUAACAGGCUGAUACCGCCCAAGAGUUCAUAUCGACGGCGGUGUUUGGCACCUCGAUGUCGGCUCAUCACAUCCUGGGGCUGAAGCCGGUCCCAAGGGUAUGGCUGUUCGCCAUUUAAAGUGGUACGCGAGCUGGGUUUAGAACGUCGUGAGACAGUUCGGUCCCUAUCUGCCGUGGACGUUUGAGAUUUGAGAGGGGCUGCUCCUAGUACGAGAGGACCGGAGUGGACGAACCUCUGGUGUUCCGGUUGUCACGCCAGUGGCAUUGCCGGGUAGCUAUGUUCGGGAAAGAUAACCGCUGAAAGCAUCUAAGCGGGAAACUUGCCUCAAGAUGAGAUCUCACUGGAACCUUGAGUUCCCUAAAGGGCCGUCGAAGACUACGACGUUGAUAGGUUGGGUGUGUAAGCGCUGUGAGGCGUUGAGCUAACCAAUACUAAUUGCCCGUGAGGCUUGACCAU
rnacentral:rRNA from 1 species